UACGUAGGGACCAAGCGUUGUUCGGAUUUACUUGGGCGUAAAGGGCGCGUAGGCGGCAAUUCAAGUCAGCUGUGAAAUCUCCGAGCUUAACUCGGAACGGUCAGCUGAUACUGUUUUGCUAGAGUACAGAAGGGGCAAUCGGAAUUCUUGGUGUAGCGGUGAAAUGCGUAGAUAUCAAGAGGAACACCUGAGGUGAAGACGGGUUGCUGGGCUGAUACUGACGCUGAGGCGCGAAAGCUAGGGUAGCAAACGGG
rnacentral:rRNA from 1 species